GAUGAAGAACGCAGCGAAAUGCGAUAAGUAAUGUGAAUUGCAGAAUUCAGUGAAUCAUCGAAUCUUUGAACGCACAUUGCGCCCCUUGGUAUUCCGAGGGGCAUGCCUGUUCGAGCGUCAUUAUAACCCCUCAAGCUCAGCUUGGUGUUGGGGCCUGCUGCACUGGCAGCCCUUAAAAUCAGUGGCGGCGCCAUCUGGCUCUAAGCGUAGUAAUUCUUCUCGCUAUGGAGUCCUGGUGGAUGCUUGCCAUCAACCCCCAAUUUUUCUAUGGUUGACCUCGGAUCAGGUAGGGAUACCCGCUGAACUUAAGCAUAUCAAUGAGCGGAGGA
rnacentral:misc_RNA from 1 species